AACGAACGCUGGCGGCAUGCCUAACACAUGCAAGUCGAACGAGACCUUCGGGUCUAGUGGCGCACGGGUGCGUAACGCGUGGGAACCUGCCCUUAGGUUCGGAAUAACUCCCCGAAAGGGGUGCUAAUACCGGAUAAUGUCUUCGGACCAAAGAUUUAUCGCCUUUGGAUGGGCCCGCGUUGGAUUAGCUAGUUGGUAGGGUAAAAGCCUACCAAGGCGACGGUCCAUAGCUGGUCUGGGAGGAUGAACAGCCACACUGGGACUGAGGCACGGCCCAGACCUCGGAGGGAGGGGGGGGGGGGAGAGUAUAAUGGGAGGAGGAAGGACGUAGCAAAGCAGUGCGCGGGAAGUAGGAAGGCCGUUUGGAAUGAAAUUCUUUUUGCCCGGAAGUGUAAGUGACGGUACGGGGAAAAGAAGCCCCGGCUAACUCCGUG
rnacentral:rRNA from 1 species